UAAUGAAUGUGGGAAGUACUAUCAUAAGUCAGAUCUCACUAAACAUCAGAGAACACACACAAGGGAGAAACCCUAUGAAUGUAGUCAGUGUGGGAAAAGCUUCAGUUGCAGCUUAGGUCUCAAAGUAUAUCAGAGAAGACACACAAGGGAGAAACCCUAUGGAUGUAAGCAGUGUGGGGAAACCCUCUGAGAAAUAAACUCUCAUAGCACAUCCAAGGAUACACAUGGGAAAAAGCUUAUAAAUGUAGAAAUGAGAGAAAUCUUUCUCAAGCAAUUCAUACCUCAAAAUACUUAGGAGAAAUCAAAUAGGACAUGACCCCUGUGAAUGUAAAGAACUUGGCAAACCUUUUACCAUAAGUCAUCUUCCAAAGUAAAUAAGAGAAUAGCAUAGGGGAAAUUCCUAAUAAUGUAAUGAAUGUUUGAAAAUCUGCUGUAAGAGACAACUACAAAGUAACUGAAUACAUGUAGAAGAAACACUACUGAUCCAUGUAGAGAAUAUGGGGAAAUAUUUUGCUAUAAUUUGGAAUUUAUUAAACAAAGAACUUCCAUAGGAAAUAAUCUAAUGACUCACAUGGAUAUAUGAAAAUGUUCUUCCAGAGAAUGACCAUUAAUAAAAAUAAGAUAAACCACAUUUAGAGAAAACUGUCAACAUUCUGUUUCUUUUGACAACUUUAUGUACAAGUUUUACUCAUUGUAUAUUAAAUAAAUAAUAGGGAAGGUAUUCAAAGAAUGCAGCAAAUGUAGUUGAGUCUAUAUCAAGAAAUGUCAUUUUACUAAGCAAGAUAAUUCAUACUGAGUUAAAGUCAUAACAGAUAUUUUGAAUGUGAAGACAUUAACAAAUAUCUAGACUUUAUUAUAUCUGAAGAUUGUAUUAAAGGAAAUGUGUCAAUUUAGGAAAUAAUGAAUAGAAAUUUUCUUCUAGAUACAGUAUUAUCCUGAAAGUCAUGUUUUUAAAAAAUUAGUCAUAUUUUGUUCUGAUCCCAAAUUUUUAAAUAGAAAUGUAACUGUAAACAGAAUUCUAUACAAAUAGUAACUGUAGAGUAUGAAGAUUUUUUUAAAGCACAAAUAAAUUGAAUAACCUUUUCAGUCUCUGAGUCCACUUUUGGGGAAAGAGUGUUACCCCAUGGCCCUUUCUGUCAUGAGCAUCUCCUGUCCUUGAUUAGUCUGCCCUCCAACUAUACUGUUGCCUCUGCAUUUUCUGCCUAAUGGACCUACCCUUAGGGGAGCUCAGGAUGGACCACCCUCUUACCAGAACAUACAUUGGGACCAGCCAGAAGCAGUGGGAUAUAGGUUGUCCUUGAGGCUGCAUCUGCCCCUCUUCCUAGGUGCAGAGACUGGAAACCACAUUAAGUGUGUGUACAAAGCUAGAGGACUACCUAGAACCUUUAGCCCAUGUGAGUUUGGUCUCCAAUUCAGAGCCACAGGAAGCUCAGUAUAGCUUACUUUUUUAAAUCCAAGCCUAUUGACUGAAUUUUAGUGAACCCUUUUAGGUGGGCUGGUGUAGUUUUAGUGAAAUAUUUCAUAACAUAACCAUCAGUGUACAUAUUGCAGCUUGGAAGUAAAGUAUUGCAAAAGUAGUUGAAGUAUCUGCAUGUCAUUCCCAAAUUUCUUUAACUUCCUAUAACCUUUACCACCUUUAAGCCUUAUUUUAAACUUGGUUUUUAUUCAUACCAUGUCUCAUUACUUUCAUUCUUUAUUUCCAUAUAUACACAUAUACUAUUGUGGAUGUACAAUAACAUAUUUUGUUGUUUUGCAAGUAUUUGCAAAAGUUAAAGUUAUUCAGCUUUUGUCUUCAAAUGCAUGGUUUUGACCUUUUUACCUGCUGAUAUGUUUAGCUUUACUUAUUUUAAUAAAGUAUAAUAAAUAA
ensembl:lncRNA